AACGCACAUUGCGCCCCUUGGUAUUCCAUGGGGCAUGCCUGUUCGAGCGUCAUUUGUACCCUCAAGCUUUGCUUGGUGUUGGGCGUCUUGUCCCGCGUUGUCGCGUGGACUCGCCUUAAAGCGAUUGGCAGCCGGCAUAUUUGGCCUUGGAGCGCAGCACAUUUUGCGCCUCUUGCCUUGAAUGUUGGCGUCCAUUAAGCCUAUUACAUUUUGCAUUUUGACCUCGGAUCAGGUAGGGAUACCCGCUGAACUUAA
rnacentral:misc_RNA from 1 species